rnacentral:rRNA from 1 species
UACGUAGGGGGCAAGCGUUGUCCGGAUUUAUUGGGCGUAAAGAGCGUGUAGGCGGCCAGAUAGGUCUGGUGUGAAAACUUGAGGCUCAACCUCAAGAGGUCACUGGAAACCAUUUGGCUAGAGUCCGGAAGAGGAGAGUGGAAUUCCUGGUGUAGCGGUGAAAUGCGCAGAUAUCAGGAAGAACACCUAUGGCGAAGGCGGGUCUCUGGGCCGAUACUGACGCUGAGGAGCGAAAGCGUGGGGAGCGAACAGG